rnacentral:rRNA from 1 species
UGCCUCCGGGCGCCCAACCUCCCACCCGUGACUACCUAACACUGUUGCUUCGGCGGGGAGCCCUCUCGGGGGCGAGCCGCCGGGGACUACUGAACUUCAUGCCUGAGAGUGAUGCAGUCUGAGUCUGAAUAUAAAAUCAGUCAAAACUUUCAACAAUGGAUCUCUUGGUUCCGGCAUCGAUGAAGAACGCAGCGAACUGCGAUAAGUAAUGUGAAUUGCAGAAUUCAGUGAAUCAUCGAGUCUUUGAACGCACAUUGCGCCCCCUGGCAUUCCGGGGGGCAUGCCUGUCCGAGCGUCAUUGCUGCCCAUCAAGCCCGGCUUGUGUGUUGGGUCGUCGUCCCCCCCGGGGGACGGGCCCGAAAGGCAGCGGCGGCACCGUGUCCGGUCCUCGAGCGUAUGGGGCUUUGUCACCCGCUCGAUUAGGGCCGGCCGGGCGCCAGCCGACGUCUCCAACCAUUUUCUUCAGGUUGACCUCGGAUCAGGUAGGGAUACCCGCUGAACUUAAGCAUAUCAAUAA